ensembl:lncRNA LINC01191 long intergenic non-protein coding RNA 1191
GGCAGGUGAAUCACUUGAAGCCGGGAGGUGAAGGCCGCAGUAACGCUGUUCCCUGCAUUGGAUGAAGUGCUCCCCACCAAACUCUCUCACCGGAGAGGGUGGGAUCUGCGGGCUCCCUGGGUGGCUUGAUUUCGACACCCUGUGGGCUGCCUUCCACUCUGGUACUUUCCUCUGCCUGCUGAUGCUUGAAAUUCCUUGAACCGGCCACACACACCUGCUUUCUGGAAUCAGAACACUGGAAAGGCUUCCUGGGACGGGAGAAGAGUGAUUUACAUUCCUGCCGAGGUGUAAAGCUGCGGAUGGCAGGUUCUCUCCUGAGAACCGGCUUCAACUAGGAGGAGGAGGUUGGAAGCAGGACCCCGAGCUGACCUGUUGACCAGGAGAGGAGUGCUUUUACUCCCCGUCAUCACCACCGCCUGCCAGAGGCAGUAAACUUGGGUCCAGCGGGCCCCUGUCAAGCUGCAUAACCACACAGUGAGAGGCUGUCUAGAGAAAGGCGUUUGUUCAGGAGCAGAGCGUUGCAACGGUAACACGCAUGUCAUAGUAAACUGUGCAUAUUCGAGGAGGCAGAGGAAGAAAGGAAGAGGAAGGUUUUCAAAGAGAAAGCAGCAGUGAGGAUGCCAGAGUUCAUGGGUUUCUAGAAGACAAGUUUUCAACUGCAGAUACAAACAUCAGGACGUCAAUGUAUCUGCUAGGAGACACCCGGACAGUGUUGAGAACACAGAACCUGGAGGCUAAACCCCCAGCUUUCUAUGCCAGCUGAGAGUCUGUGGGCACAUUACUCAGCGUCUCUGAACCUCAUGCUCCUCCCCUGUGACAUGUAGAUUGCUAAACCCAUCUCACAGGGCUAUCUUCUGCAUUUAAAGAAUAAAAUAACACAUGAGGGGUC